rnacentral:rRNA from 1 species
CCUACGGGAGGCAGCAGUGAGGAAUAUUGGUCAAUGGGCGCUAGCCUGAACCAGCCAAGUCGCGUGAAGGAAGACUGCCCUAUGGAUUGUAAACUUCUUUUAUCGGGGAACAAAAUACGCCACGCGUAGCGUUCCGAAUGUACCCUAUGAAUAAGCAUCGGCUAACUCCGUGCCAGCAGCCGCGGUAAUACGGAGGAUUCGAGCGUUAUCCGGAUUUAUUGGGUGUAAAGGGUGCGCAGGCGGGUUGUUAAGUCAGUUGGGAAAGGUCGGGGCUCAACCCGAAGAUUGCAGUUGAUACUGGCAGCCUCGAGUUGGAGAGAGGUAUGCGGAAUGCGUGGUGUAGCGGUGAAAUGCACAGAUAUCGCGAAGAACUCCGAUUGCGAAGGCAGCAUGCGGG